UGGGGAAUUUUGGACAAUUGGGCGAAAGCCUGAUCCAGCAAUGCCGCGUGUGUGAAGAAGGCCUUCGGGUUGUAAAGCACUUUUGUCCGGAAAGAAAUCCUUGGCUCUAAUACAGUCGGGGGAUGACGGUACCGGAAGAAUAAGCACCGGCUAACUACGUGCCAGCAGCCGCGGUAAUACGUAGGGUGCAAGCGUUAAUCGGAAUUACUGGGCGUAAAGCGUGCGCAGGCGGUUUGCUAAGACCGAUGUGAAAUCCCCGGGCUCAACCUGGGAACUGCAUUGGUGACUGGCAGGCUAGAGUAUGGCAGAGGGGGGUUAGAAUUCCACGUGUAGCAGUGAAAUGCGUAGAGAUGUGGAGGAAUACCGAUGGCGAAGGCAGCCCCCUGGGCCAAUACUGACGCUCAUGCACGAAAGCGUGGGGAGCAAACAGGAUUAGAUACCCUGGUAGUCCACGCCCUAAACGAUGUCAACUAGUUGUUGGGGAUUCAUUUCCUAGUAACGUAGCUAACGCGUGAAGUUGACCGCCUGGGGAGUACGGUCGCAAGAUUAAAACUC
rnacentral:rRNA from 1 species